rnacentral:rRNA from 1 species
AGUAGUUUGAUCAUGGCUCAGGAUGAACGCUAGCGGCAGGCCUAAUACAUGCAAGUCGAACGGCUCAGUAGCAAUACUGGGAGUGGCGCACGGGUGCGUAACGCGUACACAAUCUACCUCUAAGCGGGGGACACCUCCUGGAAACGGGGAUUAAUACCGCAUAAUAUGCCGAGGUCGCAUGACUUUGGUAUUAAAGCAGCAAUGCACUUAGAGAUGAGUGUGCGUCCCAUUAGGUAGUUGGUGAGGUAACGGCUCACCAAGCCUAUGAUGGGUAGCCGGUCUGAGAGGAUGGUCGGCCACACGGGCACUGAGACACGGGCCCGACUCCUACGGGAGGCAGCAGUAAGGAAUAUUGGUCAAUGGUGGAAACACUGAACCAGCCAUGCCGCGUGGAGGAAUAAGGUCCUACGGAUUGUAAACUCCUUUUGACGAGGAAGAAAGUGUUAGAUUUAUCUAAUUUUGACGGUACUCGUAGAAUAAGCACCGGCUAACUCCGUG